GUUACAGGUAGUCACACACACUCAUAGCCAGACAGUCACGCACACAGUUACAGAAAGACAGUCACAUAUACAGUCACUCAUACACAAAGUCAAAGGCAGAGAGUUACGCACACAGACAUACAGGCAGACACACACACACACACACACACAGUUACAGGCACACAGUCACAUGCAGACAGUCACACAUACAGUCACAGACAGUCAUGCACACAGUUACAGGCAGACAGUCACAUAUACAUUGACACACACACACGACAUCAGCAGACAGUCACAUGCACACAGUCACAGACAGAUAUUCACACACGGUUACAGGCAACAUCAAACAGUCACAGGCAGACAGUCCGGCAGACAAUUACACACACAGUCAGUUACAGGUAGUCACACACAGUCAUAGCCAGACAGUCA